rnacentral:rRNA from 1 species
GCUUUUCGGAGCAUGUGCACGCCUAGCGCCAUUUUUACCACCUGUGCACUUCUUGUAGAUUUGAAACACCUCUCGAGGAAACUCGGUUUGAGGACUGCUGUGCGCAAGCUAAGCUUUCCUUGCGUUUCAGGUCUAUGUUUUUAUAUACCCCAUAAGAAUGUUUUAGAAUGUCAUUAAUGGGCUUCAUUGCCUCUAAAUUAAUACAACUUUCAACAACGGAUCUCUUGGCUCUCGCAUCGAUGAAGAACGCAGCGAAAUGCGAUAAGUAAUGUGAAUUGCAGAAUUCAGUGAAUCAUCGAAUCUUUGAACGCACCUUGCGCUCCUUGGUAUUCCGAGGAGCAUGCCUGUUUGAGUGUCAUUAAAUUCUCAACCCUUUCAGCUUUUGCGAGCUGGAUUGGCUUGGAUGUGGGGGUUUGCGGGCUUCUCAGAAGUCGGCUCCUCUUAAAUACAUUAGCGGAACCUUUGUGGACCAGCUUUGGUGUGAUAAUUAUCUACGCCAUGGUUGUGAAACAGCUUUAUAUGGGGUUCAGCUUCUAACCGUCCAUUGACUUGGACAAUUUCUGACAUUUUGACCUCAAAUCA